UGCAGGGUACUUGGAAAGCACCCAGCACGCGGACAGCUUCGUCUGUGAAUGCCUUUUUUUUUACAGGAUAAUCUGGUUCUGCGAUAGCACAGGGGAGUUUUGGCUGAUACAGUGACAUCAGGCUCAGCGCUCCUACCCCACACAAAGAAGAGUUCAUUCUGCUGGGGGUUGCCCUUCUCUUCCCAGCCCUUCCACCCCUGCACCUUUGGCUGCUGGAUGAUGCUCUUGUCAGCCCAGUGAAAAUUCUUGUGCAAUCCUGACAAAUGAACACCACAAGAAGUUGGAUCUGGAAAGACCAUCAGCCCUCAUGGGUUUAGGAACAUCUGUGAAUUUAGCAUGAAGGCACUUUGAGACAGAAACCAGCUGAGAGCUUCAGCUGUUAUCGCCUGCCUUCACACACUCCGAGGCCAGAUGGCUGAAGAGAAGGCGUUCAGCCACCAGUCAGUGGGCACUACAGGACUUUCCCAUCAAUCCAGAGAAAGACAAUUCAUUUUUCCCUUUCUGGUAUCAUUCAGGCUGCUGUGUGAUGGGAGACUCAAGGGUAACCAACAGCUAAUCCUUGCAGAGCUGGCAGCUCUGGGCAGUAGUCAUAGCUGGAGGGAGGAUACCAAAGACUUUAUGGGGAAAAUUCCCUCUGAUUGCAAAGGGCCAGAGUAAGUGGGGAGAGGUUACUUCUUAUUUUGGGGUAGUCCCUUGGGAUAGUCCAGAUGUGCUCCAUCAUGUCUGGUGGGGCACAUCAAGUGAACAAAUAGUCUUUCAAGUGGAACCUUUGUCCUCCAAGGUAACUUUAAUGGGUUUUCACUAUUCCAUUAUUUCCCAUUGGUGGGUUUCCAUAUGGUUGCUGAAGAUCAUCAGGGAGUUGCACCAUCUGAAAGGGUAUUGUACCAAAGGUUCAACAUGUAGACCCAUAUUCAAGCCUGGAAGACUAAGAAACCAGACUCAUAGGUACAUGUGGCAAACAUAAGUGAGAUGGACAUGACUUAACACUUUGCCAAUAAAAAAGAAAACCCCCCAUCAGCAUUAUGACUUGCCAUCUUUCAUAAUGCAAUGAAACUGGAAGAUAAAUAGGGAACUUAGAAACCUCUAAUAGCUUUUAAAGAACGUGGUACAGCUGCAGUCAAACAAAUGUGCCCGGGUUUUGAUGUUCUAAUAUAUUUUGUCAUUUCUUUUCUGGAAGAGAAAGGAGAAAGCAAUGAAAAUUAGGUUUUGUUUUCCAUUGUUUGUCCCAGCUCCAGCAGUAUGUGCAGAAGAUUGGGUACAUUGAGAUAGCCCUUGAAUAAUGUUGCGAAGGUGGACAGAGAUUAAGAAGAAAAGCGUCCAGUUUGGAGUCAGACAGUAUAAAGAAAUGAAAAUAAAAUUCAGGUCGAAAUGCACUUGAUCAAUUUGUCUCUUCUCUUACAUUUGUAAGUGCUAUAAGCCUGUCUGCCAGAAGGAUCUUUAUCUACUUCUCUUUAAAAUGGAUAGAAAACUAAAUACCAAUGGACCCCUGCAAAGGAUCUUAUGCCG
ensembl:lncRNA